CUUAGUACGAGAGGACCGGGACGGACGAACCUCUGGUAUGUCAGUUGUACCGCCAGGUGCAUGGCUGAUUGGCUACGUUCGGGAGGGAUAACCGCUGAAAGCAUCUAAGCGGGAAGCCUGUUUCGAGAUGAGAUUUCCUGGCACUUUUGGUGUGUGAGGCUCCUUAUAGAUGAUGAGGUUGAUAGGCCGGGUAUGGAAGCGGGGACUGAAGACUCGUGGAGUUGACUGGUACUAAUAGGCCGAAGGCUUACUUUU
rnacentral:rRNA from 1 species